GGUCGUACCUGAAGAUGAUUUUUGAAGUUAAGGAAAAGAAGGGCAAUUGUGUCAUCAUGUCGUGCCAACUUUGUCUGCCCAGACAAGUUGAAAUCUCAGCCUUCAAGAAUUCUACAUCUAAUUUGAAGAAACACAUUGAGAGAAAACGUCCACUGAAGUUAAAGCGGUACACAGAACUCAUCUUAAAAAGAAAAAGCUGAGAAGAACAGAAGUGUGAUUCGGCUGUAAAACAGAUGAAGAUCAAAGACCAUUCCAUGUCAUGCAGGCAGGUUUCUUAGUCCACAAUUGACAGGCUUGUAGUUGCGUUUGUCUGUGAAAGCCCUUAUCUGUUUACCAUAGUUGAACUUCCAACACUCAAAAAUCUGAUACACACUAUGCAGCCUAGCUGUACAGUUAUGUCCAGACCAACUGUGAAGCUGAGAAUUUAGGAUGCAGCCAUUGCUGAGAUGGCAAAGGUCAGCCAUAUAGGUACCACUACUGAUUGCUGGACUGCUUGACAGUGGAGUUACAUCGGUGUAACCGCACACUGGAUUGAUGAGUCUACACUGGAAAAGAGGCCUGCUCCUUAUCAGAAGAACAACUGAUUGUGGGUCGAAUUUUAUUAAAGCUUUUAAGGUGUAUGGUAAAAAGAGUCAGGAAGAGUUGAUUGAUGUUGACUCGGAGCCAGUGACACUGGAGAGCAAAGAAGAUGGAGAAGUUGUUGAGGUUCAGUACACCUGUUCAAUCUUAAAAACAAACAACGGGUUAGAGUAUCAUCUACCAAGCAUCAGCAUUGCGCAUGUCAUCUUCUUAAUUUGGUAGCUACUGUGGAUGAUUUCAAAGCAGAGGAUUGAGAGGACAGCAGUGAGGUAUACAAGAAGCUUACACAUUCAACAUUUGCAAAAUGCCAGGCAUUAUACAAUAAAACCAGCAGGUCUGCCAUCAAUGCUGAGAUCGUCCAAGAAGAGUCAAAAAAUACAGUUCAUUCAGCCCAACAGCACAAGAACUUGGUGUACAAUUCUGCAGAGAGGAAAAUACGGAUCCUAAAGGAACAGGGAGAAGCAUCCCUUCCGAAUAUUUGUGCAUCAUUUAAAAUCAAAAUGCUAAAUCCUGCUGAAAUGUCUUACCUCUCUGAAUACUGCAUCGUGACGAAGCCUGUGUCCAUGGCUUUAAACAUUCUUCAGUCUGAAACAAACACUCAGAUGGGGUGGCUCCUUCCCACCAUCUACCUUCUUGAAUCCAAGCUCAAAAAGAUUGAGACUUCAGUCAAGGUAUGUUUUCCCUUAUUCAUGCUCUCCGGAAAGGUCUACAAAAGUGCUUCGGGGAGUUCAUGGAAGAUACAGAACUCAUCAGUGCUGCAAUUCUUCUUCCAAAAUUCAAAACGUCAUGGACAGACAAGACCUACAUCAUAAAAGCAGGUAUGGACUACAUCCUUCACCAUCUUGAUUCCAUUAAGUGCACCCAUCCAAAUGAAGCACAACUUGAUGUUUCUGACGAGGAUUACUUUUUUUCUUCCAUUAAGACUGUUCCAUCCCCAACUGAAUCUGAAUUGGAUGGGUACUCGGCUUGUGCCUCAGAAGAGAUGGGAUUGCUUUACUCAUUUCCUUUGGUGAAAAAACUAAGCCUCAAACACACCCCUGCCUGCUUCUGCAGCAUGCAAGCAUCUUUUUAGUUGUGCUGGGCAACUGUUUACAACAAAACGAGCAAGACUGGACAGUACAAAUUUUGAGAACCAGUUCAUUGUGAAAUUUAACAACACGUUUAAAAUUUAGUUGUUGUUUUUUUCCCCCCUACACUUAAAAUUGCAAGUCUACAUUCAUAUUGUGGGGGUCGGUUAACCCAUGUUGUAUUCAUUUGUUUAAUUUCCUAAUUUGUGCUACAGGCUCAACUUUUAUGUUUAUGUACAAUUCUUUUCAACAUUUUAUUUAUUUAUUUUUUUAAAUUGGCCUGCAAGAAUAUUUUUGUAGAAAGGUUAUCAUAACUGAUUAUAGGCUGCUUAUUGUUAUUAUUGAUAUUUUAAAACAUAACAUGCCAGGAUGUUCAGUGCUCGCAGUCAUAAAUAAAACUGUUGGGG